AUCCAGCUGGUGAGUCCCAAAUAGUACGAAAUGCGCAUUCUGGAU
rnacentral:hammerhead_ribozyme from 1 species